rnacentral:rRNA from 1 species
AGGCUGCAACUCGCCUACACGAAGUCGGAAUCGCUAGUAAUCGCGGAUCAGCAUGCCGCGGUGAAUACGUUCUCGGGCCUUGUACACACCGCCCGUCACACCAUGGGAGUCGGUAACACCCGAAGUCUGUAGCCUGACGCAAGAGGGCGCAGCCGAAGGUGGGAUUGAUGACUGGGGUGAAGUCGUAACAAGGUAGC